UGCUCCCGCGAGGUCGCUGCCUUCCGACCUCCGCUCGGAAGGCCCUUGGGCGUGGAAUGCGGUCUUCUUUGUGUCCUGUGCGCGGGAGGAAGAAGCUCUCCCCGGUAGACGGAAAACACCGGGAGAACAAGCUCUCCUAUAGAGAGAAAGAGAAGCCCAACCAGGCUUCCAGAGCCUGAUGCAGGACUCGAACCCACAAACCAUGAAACUAUGGCCUGAGCUGAAAUCAAGAGGCAGAUAGAUGCUCAACCGACUGAGCCACCCAGGCGACCCAGCAUGGCAUCAUUUGACUGAAACACCAGCCAGUCAAAAUAGUAGUUCUGGCUACCAGUUUCUUGACUCAGCCGUGUGAUGAAAAGGGAUCACUGGAAAGACCCAAAAUGGGCUCUACGCCCAGUGUGGGGCUUGAAUUCCUGACCUUGAGAUCAAGAGUAGCACGUUCUACCAACUGAGCCAGCCAUGCGCCCUGGGGUUUUUAUUUUUAAGGUAACAUUUUAAUAAUCGAUGAUAUGAGACAUAUACUAAUGUUAAUGAUGAUACAUCAGCUUCAAGGUAAAAGGCAGUAAACAGGCGGUUAGAAGGUACCAAGUAAAUGAAAAAUAAAACACAUAGUGAAUACAAUCCUUAAACCUUGUAGAUAAGCCAUUAUAUGUAAUUUUUUGUUUUCAUUGUAUUUGUAUUGUAUUUAUUUUUACUUUUUUAUUUAUUUUUCUUAAAGUGUAUUUUAUAAAGUUCAUUUUAUUUCAGUAAUCGCUGCACCCAGUGCGAGGCUCAAACACAGA